rnacentral:rRNA from 1 species
GACGAACGCUGGCGGCGUGCUUAACACAUGCAAGUCGAACGGAAAGGCCCUGCUUGCAGGGUACUCGAGUGGCGAACGGGUGAGUAACACGUGGGUGAUCUGCCCUGCACUUCGGGAUAAGCCUGGGAAACUGGGUCUAAUACCGGAUAGGAGCCAUUUUUAGUGUGAUGGUUGGAAAGUUUUUUCGGUGUAGGAUGAGCUCGCGGCCUAUCAGCUUGUUGGUGGGGUAAUGGCCUACCAAGGCGGCGACGGGUAGCCGGCCUGAGAGGGUGGACGGCCACAUUGGGACUGAGAUACGGCCCAGACUCCAACGGGAGGCAGCAGUGGGGAAUAUUGCACAAUGGGCGCAAGCCUGAUGCAGCGACGCCGCGUGGGGGAUGACGGCCUUCGGGUUGUAAACUCCUUUCGCUAGGGACGAAGCUUUUUGUGACGGUACCUAGAUAAGAAGCACCGGCUAACUACGUG